CACACCUUUACAUGCUUCUUAUCCUCAGGUGAAGUGUUGUUUCAUGUCAGACUGAUCUGCAGUGUUGAGCUCCAUGAUUUGACUAGAGAGAGGGAGUUUGCAUUGUGAGUGUGUGAGAGUGUUUCUAGUGCUGUGAGUUGAACACUUGAUGACUGAGAGCAGAACAAACACAAUCUUCAUCAUCAUCAUCAUCAUCAUCAUCAUCAUCAUCACAGCAGACUCAACUACAGCUAUGAUCAACAUCUGCAUCUGCAUCUGGACUCUGACUCUCUGCAUUCAGGAGAGUUGGGGACAAGUGACAGUGACUCAGAGUCCAGCAGUCAGAUCCAUCACACAAGGAGAAACUCUGACCAUCAGCUGCAAAACUACUCCGCUGGUGUCUGGCUGUAGUGACUGUGUGUCCUGGUAUCAGCAGAAACCUGGAGAAACCCCUAAACUCCUCAUCUAUGAUAUAAGCAGCCCUUACUCAAACACUCCAUCUAGAUUCAGUGGUGUAGGAUCUAACUUUGGCAGUGAUUUUACUCUGAUCAUCAGUGGAGUCCAGACUGAAGAUGCUGGAGAUUAUUACUGUCUGAGUGUAAACAAGAUCAGUGAUAGUUGGGUGUUCACACAGUGAUAAAGCGCCGUACAAAAACCUGCUGUUCACACUGACUGCACUGAUUCAGCUGAGAGACACUAAGGAACGCACACACUGAAAGAGGGACACACACUUUAUCUGUCAAUAAUUACUAAAUAAACAAUACAGAUACAAUCUAAUAUCCCUAAAGUGGACUAAAAUAUGAAGAUAACAGCUCUCUAGAAUGAUCUCCAUCAGUAAGUCAGUGUCUAUAAUCCUGCAGCUCCACACUUGAGCACUAGAGUCUUCUACACACACACACUCUUUCCUCUAAGACGGUGUGUUUGCUGAUGAACACACUGCAGUUCUGAACAGCUUGAUUAGUUUGAUCAGGUGUGUUUAAUCAGGGUUGGAGCUGCAGUCCUCCAGGAACUGAGUGUGAGAUGCUGGAGAUGAAGCUGCUGAACAUCUGCAGUCACUGGAGCUCAUCAGGCAAAUAUCUGCACCUUCACACUUCACUAACCAGCAGGAGAACACUCUUAUUCAUAGUCACUGAAACUACCACCUGAGUGACUAUAACAACUGCUCAUAUUCAAGAUAUAUCAGCAUGAAGAAGCAUUAUCACACAUUAAACCAUCAGCCACAUACUUAUUCUAUUUUUAAAUAUCAAACUUUAUUAAAAGCUCCGUGGUGAAACAUGCAACUAAAUAGGUUUUUGAGCUUGUUAUUAACAAUUAAUCUUAAAACACGCACACACAGAUAAGCCUUUUAUUGAAAAUAGUUUGUUUUUAAUGUUUGUUGGCAUCUAGAUUAAAAUAACUGGUUACAUUAAUGUAUUUAAGAAAUAAU